rnacentral:rRNA from 1 species
AGAGUUUGAUCAUGGCUCAGAACGAACGCUGGCGGCGUGGAUUAGGCAUGCAAGUCGUACGGGCGCUUAGCUUUUUCGAGCGUCAGUGGCGAAAGGGUGAGUAACACGUGGGUAACCUGCCCUAGGGAUUGGGAUAACCUAUCGAAAGAUGGGCUAAUACCGGAUACCUUCCAUGAAUAAUUUUCAUGGAGGAAAGAUGGGGACCUCUUCGGAGGCCUGUCGCUCUUAGAGGGGUCCGCGGCCUAUCAGCUUGUUGGUGAGGUAACGGCUCACCAAGGCGAAGACGGGUAGCUGGUCUGAGAGGAUGGUCAGCCACACUGGGACUGAGACACUGCCCAGACACCUACGGGUGGCUGCAGUCGAGAAUCUUUCGCAAUGGGGGAAACCCUGACGAAGCGACGCCGCGUGCAGGAUGAAGGUUUUCGGAUCAUAAACUACUGUCAGCUGGGAAGAAAGAGUUUCUAGUGAAUAAUUAGAUGCUCUGACGGUACCAGCAGAGGAAGCCACGGCUAGCUCUGUGCCAGCAGCCGCGGUAAUACAGAGGUGGCAAGCGUUGUUCGGAUUUAUUGGGCGUAAAGGGUUCGUAGGCGGCUUGAAAAGUCGGAUGUGAAAUCCCACAGCUUAACUGUGGAACUGCAUUCGAAACUCUCGGACUCGAGUGUGAGAGGGGUAAAGGGAAUUCCCGGUGUAAGGGUGAAAUCUGCAGAGAUCGGGAAGAACACCAGUCGCGAAGGCGCUUUACUGGCUCACUACUGACGCUGAGGGACGAAAGCUAGGGUAGCCAACGGGAUUAGAUACCCCGGUAGUCCUAGCCGUAAACGAUGUUCACUAGAUGUUGGGAGGGUUAAACCUUUCAGUGCCGUCGCUCACGCAUUAAGUGACCCGCCUGGGGAGUACGGUCGCAAGGUCGAAACUCAAAGGAAUUGACGGGGACCCGCACAAACGGUGGAGCAUGUGGUUUAAUACGACGAUACGCGUGGAACCUUACCUAGGCUUGACAUGUAUUGGAAAUCCCUAUGAAAGUAGGGACCCUUCUUCGGAAGUCGAUACACAGGUGUUGCAUGGCUGUCGUCAGCUCGUGUCGUGAGAUGUUGGGUUAAGUCCCGCAACGAGCGCAACCCCUAUCCCUAGUUGCUAAUGAUGCCUUCGGGCAUCAUGCUCUCUAUGGAGACCGCCGCUGAUAAAGCGGAGGAAGGUGGGGAUGACGUCAAGUCAGUACGGCCCUUACGCCUGGGGCUACACACGUGCUACAAUGGCCGGUACAAAGGGCAGCCAAACCGCAAGGUGGAGCCAAUCCCAAAAGCCGGUCCCAGUUCGGAUUGGAGGCUGCAACUCGCCUCCAUGAAGCCGGAAUCGUUAGUAACCCCGUAUCAGCUACGGCGGGGUGAAUACGUUCCCGGGUCUUGUACACACCGCCCGUC